rnacentral:lncRNA from 13 species
CAUGUUAAUUAUAGUUAUUCUAAAUGCCCCUUUGGUUAUUGCAUCUGGGUCACAUCUGAGUCUGAUUCUGAUAAUUACUUUGUAUCUUCAGGCUGUGUUUAUUCUCAACUUGUCAAAUGCCUUGUAAUUUUGGUCAGAAACCAGACAUGCUGUAUAGCAGAGCAGAUUUUGAGUUUUGACCUGAAGUCCAUUUUGUCUGAAACAUGGUAUCUUGCUAUAUUACCCAGGCUGGUCUCAAACUCCCAGGCUCAAGUGAUCCAACUGUCUCAGCCUCCUGCGCAGCUGGGACUACAGACAAGUACCACGGUGCCCCAGCUAAUCCAUCAAUUCUUUGUUGUUGUUGUUUUUAUUGAGACAGAGUCUCCCUCUGUCCCCAGGCUAGAGUGCAGUGAUACAACCUUGGCUCACUGCAGCCUCCGCCUCCCGGGUUAAAGCAAUUCUUCCACCUUAGCCUCCAGAGAGCUGGGACCACCGACGCAUGCUCCCACGCCCGGCCAAUUUUUGUAUUUUUAGUAGAGAUGGGGCUUCACCAUGUUGGCCAGUGUGGUCUCAAUUUCUUGACCUUGUGAUCUGCCCACCUCAGCCUCCCAAAGUGUUGGGAUU